rnacentral:rRNA from 1 species
UACGUAGGGUGCGAGCGUUACUCGGAAUUACUGGGCGUAAAGUGUGCGCAGGCGGCGUCGCAAGUCGAGUGUGAAAGCCCCGAGCUUAACUUGGGAAUUGCGCUCGAAACUACGAUGCUGGAGUGUGGCAGAGGAAGGUGGAAUUCCACGUGUAGCGGUGAAAUGCGUAGAGAUGUGGAGGAACACCAGUGGCGAAGGCGGCUUCCUGGCCUGUUCUUGACGCUGAGGCGCGAAAGCUAGGGUAGCAAACGGG